UGCUAACUCCUACGGGAGGCAGCAGUAGGGAAUCUUCGGCAAUGGACGGAAGUCUGACCGAGCAACGCCGCGUGAGUGAAGAAGGUUUUCGGAUCGUAAAGCUCUGUUGUAAGAGAAGAACGAGUGUGAGAGUGGAAAGUUCACACUGUGACGGUAUCUUACCAGAAAGGGACGGCUAACUACGUGCCAGCAGCCGCGGUAAUACGUAGGUCCCGAGCGUAGUCCGGAUUUAUUGGGCGGAAAGCGAGCGCAGGCGGUUAGAUAAGUCUGAAGUUAAAGGCUGUGGCUUAACCAUAGUACGCUGUGGAAACUGUUUAACUUGAGUGCAAGAGGGGAGAGUGAAAUGCCAUGUGUAGCGGUGAAAUGCGUAGAUAUAUGGAGGAACACCGGUGACGAAAGCGGCUCUCUGGCUUGUAACUGACGCUGAGGCUCGAAAGCGUGGGGAGCAAACAGGAUUAGAUACCCUGGUAGUCCAGAAGUG
rnacentral:rRNA from 1 species